UACCAGAGUCUGGCUAGCUGUUUCCCCGUUUCCAGUCCUUAUGCUAAGCUAAGCUAACGAAGCUGCUGGC